UGCUCCUUGGGUGACGAGUGGCGGACGGGUGAGUAAUGUCUGGGGAUCUGCCCGAUAGAGGGGGAUAACCACUGGAAACGGUGGCUAAUACCGCAUAACGUCGCAAGACCAAAGAGGGGGACCUUCGGGCCUCUCACUAUCGGAUGAACCCAGAUGGGAUUAGCUAGUAGGCGGGGUAAUGGCCCACCUAGGCGACGAUCCCUAGCUGGUCUGAGAGGAUGACCAGCCACACUGGAACUGAGACACGGUCCAGACUCCUACGGGAGGCAGCAGUGGGGAAUAUUGCACAAUGGGCGCAAGCCUGAUGCAGCCAUGCCGCGUGUAUGAAGAAGGCCUUCGGGUUGUAAAGUACUUUCAGCGGGGAGGAAGGCGACGGGGUUAAUAACCCUGUCGAUUGACGUUACCCGCAGAAGAAGCACCGGCUAACUCCGUGCCAGCAGCCGCGUAUACGGAGG
rnacentral:rRNA from 1 species